CUGAGUAUUCCAUCUUGUAUUUUCUUUUUCAUACUAGGUUUUAGGCAAAGACUUACCAGUGUGAAGUGUUGGAGAUUACAGGGACUGGCGCUUGCAGAAACAUGAAGAAUCCAAGCCAACUUGUAGAGAAUCCUUAAGUCCAUUCAGAGACCAAAGGGAGCACACUGUUGCUGGAAAAAGAGAGGAGGUUCAAUGACAAGGGGCUUCAUGGUGCUGUGAUUCUGUAUGAACAUAAAGAGAGACAAGAAAUCACAGCAUUAAAAGAAGGAGGCAGCAAGGAUUCUCCCUCCUGCAACAAUUCUUCAUCCACAGGAGCUUCUGUAAGUGCUGUUUUGUGUCUCCCCUCAGCUUCCCAGAGCUGUCAUACAGUUCAAACUGUCCUUAGCACAACUGGGUUGAAGUGAGAUUUUAAUUAAUCCAGUGGAAUCAGGAAGAGGGCUUGAGCACGGCUACGGUGCAAGAUACACUUGAGAGAAUUUUUUACUGUGUCUGAACCAAUCUUGAGUUAAUCCUGAAGCUAAUUUGAGAUCAAAAGCACAGAGACUGUUUGAAAUCUUAUCUGAAUCAGACUGCCAGAUCAUUUGAGGCAAACAUUAAAUAAGAUUGCUUCAAUUACUCCAAUCAGUCAAUCUUGGUAACUAAGAUUGAGUUCUUCAUUUCAGAGGCUGAUCAACUACUAUGAGAUUCAGGUAAUAAAUGGGAUAAAUCAACUGGCA
rnacentral:lncRNA from 1 species